GAAAUAAAGCUAACGUCUGGUCUUCCAUGACAUUUAUGGAUUGAUGGAGACGACAGAUCCUUGAUAAAUAAUCCAGUGUGGAAAGUUAGGGCUGGGAAAGAAAUGGAUACAAAGGAGGGAAUAACCAGAGCGCCUGGGUGGCUCAGUCCGUGAAGCCGAACUCUUGAUUUCCACUCAGGUUUGAUUUCAGGGUCCUGGGAUCAAGUACCAAGAAUGGCCGGGGGAGCAUCAAGGCUACAUCAGCACUUUUGCGGAGCCCCUGGGAAGGCCACAGACUGAUACUCAGGCUUCAGCCCGUGGAAGGU
rnacentral:lncRNA from 1 species